rnacentral:tRNA from 1 species
UCCUCGGUAGUAUAGUAGUAGCCUGUCACGCUGGAGACCGGGGUUCGAUUCCCCGCCGGGGAG